GUUUCAGUUUGGCAACACACAUACUAAAAUGGGAAUGAUACAGAAAAGGUUAGCAUGGCCCCUGUGCAAGGAUGACAUACAUAUUUACAAAAUGUUUCAUAUUUAA
rnacentral:snRNA from 1 species